UCCCUGGAGGACUAGUGGUUAGGCCAAAGUGCUCUCACCGCUGCGGCCCAGGUGCGAUCCCUGGCCAGGGAA
rnacentral:tRNA from 1 species